CAGUCUUAAUGUAACUUCAGAAGCCCUACCUCCCUUUGGGAAAUCAGAGCAUAGUUUUAUUCAAGGUUAGUAUGGAUAUUCCUAGCUGAAAAGAAAUUCUCUAAAGCAUAUAGGAAUAUAGAAGUUUGGAUCAAGUUUGCUAGGUUAUGUUUGUAUUUUCAACUGCAUAACUAACUGUCUUCUUCCCCAAAUCAGGGCAAACAUAUUACAUUUGGUUAACUGUUGCACAUUUGCUCAAAAAAAAACACUAAGUUGAUCUUGGAAGAGUAUUACCAAUUUAAAAAUAUCUUCAAGGCACCUGCAGUGAUUGUGAUUGAUGGGGAUGGCAGAUGAUUAAAAAUAUUUGAAUAUUGGAAGCAGCUUUGCAAUAGUGACAGCCCAUGUGGGGUUAAUGAGGUGCCCCGAUUGCUGUGAACUUCUUCUUGCCCCACCUGUGAAAAAUGCCCAGUGGUGAAGAGGGAGGCUGAAGGGGAGUGAGGUGAUAUAAUCUGGUCAGUUGCUCAUGUCUGACAUCUUGCAUUUGAGCACUGGGACUGAAUGCAAGGAGCAUGUGAUCUGAUGCUUUGUGAGCGAUGAGACCAUGGUUAUUGCCGCCAUCAGUCAGCAGAGCAAAUGAGUGGUUAAUGACGAGACUAAAAUGCAUCUUGCUGAAAGUUCAGGUGACUUUGCAAGAUUGUUCAAGAGCACCAUGUUCUGCUACCUUCAUUCAAAAGUUUUUUGAUCUCUUUCAUGGGAUACAGGAAAGGACUUUGAAUUCAGUGGCACUUGAGUUUGCUUGUUUGGGGUGUUUUCACUGAAUACAGCAGGAAGCGCAAACCAACAGUAGCUAGAAUAAGAGAUGGAAUCGACCAAAGUCAUUUAGAAGUGUAUUUGGGCCUGAAUGUGUUUGAACAAAACCUGUUAUACUGCAGAGAUAUGGAGAAGCCCUGAGCAUGCUCUGGGGGCCCAUUUGCAAACAUGUUGAAAGUCUUUGCCCUGAAGACCUUGCCCUUUGAGCAAUUAUAACAGGCAACAGGAAGAAAAAAGCAAACCAGGGUUGAAACAUCUUGCAUGAUUCUAAGUACAUCUUGGUACUCUUAGCCCAGUUCUUCUGAACUGCUGCCUAGGGAGAAGGCUCCAGACUUCUCUUUGUGCCCUGACUUCUCCUCUUUCGCUCAGGUUUUAGUGUCCUAUUUCUUCAGCUGCUCCUACAAAUGGAGCCCAAAGCAAGAGCUACAGCAUGAAAGAAUGUAUGUUUGGCAGUCUGGAAAGGCCUCUGCAAAAGUAAACCAAAGAAAAAUUUUCAGCUUGUACAGUCUGAGUCUGUAAGUCAUCAGGAAUAAUGGGCACAAAUGCUGUUCCCAAUGUCUCCUCUUUGUAAGUUGUGCUCCAGCCUUGGUUUUAAGAUUUGUCAUGUUUUCCCUUUGUUUUCAUCCCAUAGCACAACACCUGAUAUAAAGCCAUGCCCUAGUUUCCAUUAAGAAUUUCUAUCCAGAAACAAAUCUGUUCUGUUUAUGUUCAGCUGUACACAUUUGGUAUGGCUUGAUUGGUUUGCAUGUGCAGAUUUUCCAGCUUCCUACAAACUGGCACUUUAGGUUUUGCUUAGUCUUUAUCUAUCGUUCUUUUCAAUUAUAGGUGGCUCACUCUUUCUUUUUGAUUCUGGAUGAAGGCUUAGUUAAAUGCCUAUUUAAGAACUGAUGAGUAAUUUAGAGGAUUUAGGGGAAUGUUCUGUGUUAUUAUAUGCAAAUACAUGCCAUGCAUGGCUCCCUAUGUCAUUAA